UCUCCUCGGGAGGCAGCAGUGGGGGAUAUUGCACAAUGGGGGAAACCCUGAUGCAGCGACGCCGCGUGAGUGAAGAAGUAUUUCGGUACGUAAAGCUCUAUCAGCAGGGAAGAAAAAUGACGGUACCUGACUAAGAAGCCCCGGCUAACUACGUGCCAGCAGCCGCGGUAAUACGUAGGGGGCAAGCGUUAUCCGGAUUUACUGGGUGUAAAGGGGGCGUAGACGGAGGAGCAAGUCUGAUGUGAAAAUCCGGGGCCCAACCCCGGAACUGCAUUGGAAACUGUUUAUCUAGAGUGUCGGAGAGG
rnacentral:rRNA from 1 species